AAUCCGUGUUGUGGGCACUUCCUCAAGAAGUCCUUGAAACGCUCCCAUGUCUCAAACGACGAUUCAAGCCAUAUCUGUAUAAAUGAGGAAAUCUCAUUACGAAGCCU